ACUAUUCCCUCUUUUUUGUCAGUGCUUAGCAUUAUAUAAAAAACGAAAUAAUGUGGCUUUUUAUCCUUUAGGUCAUGCCUGUUGAUAUUCAGAUUGGACCUAAUGCAGAACAAACUCUUCUGGAGAAAAAUCACCUCCUCUCCUGUUAGCUGUGCCUUACUUCCUGAUGCAGAAAAGGAUUUGGAGACGGGGCACAGAACUGAAGUUUUCAUUGGUUAAAAAUCUUCCAUUGCACAAGUUAGCAAGCUGGACAAUUUGGAUAAAGUAGACAGAAAUCAUAGAAACAGAGAAUAUCCUGAGUUGGAGGGGGCCCAUGAGGAUCAUCAAGUCCAACUCCUGACUCCACAAAGGACCGUCCAAAAAUCAGACCACAUGCCUGAUGGGAUGAAGACAGUCAUUGGCAGACACCUGCUCUUUGCCACUGCUGGAAGGAAGAGACAUGGAUCAAUGGACUUUUAAUUUGACUUGCUACAGCAGUUCUUAAUUUCAUUUGUAUUAUUCAAAUACAUAAGGCCCAAAUUCUG
rnacentral:lncRNA from 7 species